rnacentral:rRNA from 1 species
GAUGAACGCUGGCGGCGUGCCUAAUACAUGCAAGUCGAACGAAACUUCUUUAUCACCGAGUGCUUGCGCUCACCGAUAAAGAGUUGAGUGGCGAACGGGUGAGUAACACGUGGGCAACCUGCCCAAAAGAGGGGGAUAACACUUGGAAACAGGUGCUAAUACCGCAUAACCAUAGUUACCGCAUGGUAACUAUGUAAAAGGUGGCUAUACUACCGCUUUUGGAUGGGCCCGCGGCGCAUUAGCUAGUUGGUAGGGUAAAGGCUUACCAAGGCAAUGAUGCGUAGCCGAAUUGAGAGGUUGAUCGGCCACAUUGGGACUGAGACACGGCCCAAACUCCUACGGGAGGCAGCAGUAGGGAAUCUUCCACAAUGGGCGAAAGCCUGAUGGAGCAACGCCGCGUGGGUGAAGAAGGUCUUCGGAUCGUAAAACCCUGUUGUUAGAGAAGAAAGUGCGUGAGAGUAACUGUUCACGUUUCGACGGUAUCUAACCAGAAAGCCACUGCUAACUACGUG